AUAAAGAGGCUAUUUUUUGCCUGCUACAAAUCUUUCCUUUUUCUUUUCUCUUAUAAAUGGGGAAUGGAUAAUGAGAUUGCCAAAGCAGAAUGCAGAAUAUCUUUUUCUAGGCUGGGUUCUAUUUGCAUUUUCCUCACCACUGGAAGCCAGGAAGAAAACUGUGAAACAUUUAUAAAACUUACAUAGAGUUUCUAAUUCAUAAUUUUUAGAGCUCUUUAGCUUUCUCUUAAAGUGUGGCCAUAGGAAGUAAUCAAUCCCAUGUUGGUUGAAAGAUAGGUACCCCUCCGAGAAACUUUCCUGAUAUUAAUUACUUAAAAACCAGAGUCUGGAUAACAGCUGCUUGAAUGGGGCUGAGCGGAGGCCUUUAUGAAUAAGAAAGAAGUCGACACUAAAGUGGAGACAACAGAAAGGAAGCAUCAUACACUAAAUAGUUUACGCAUGUCCUAGUUCAUAUAGAAGAUUAAACCUGCCCUCUGUUGCUGCAUUGUUAGUUGCCUGUUCAGUAGCUGUUUCUCCUUUGGAGUCAGCUAUCAGCACGCCAGCUUUGUCGUAGCUUUCUGCCCAGGUCCAGUUGAUGGAUUGUCAUUGGCCCAAGCCAGAGGUCGGCAAACUAUGGUCGCCUGGGCCAAAUCGGACCCACCAUCUGUUUUUAUACAGCCUGUGAGCUCAGAUUGUUUUGUACAUUUUUGAAUGGUUGUAAAAAAUCAAAAGAAUAGUAUUUCAUAAUAUGUGAGCGUUAUGUCAAAUUUCCGUGUCCAUAAAUAAAGUGCCGUUGGAACACAGCAGCAUUCGGUCGUUUAUGUGUUGUCUAUGGCGGCUGGGAUGGCAGGGCUGAGCGAUUACAGCAGGGACUGUGUGGCCUGCAAACCCUAAAAUAUUUACUCUCUGGCCUGUUACAGAGUGAGUUUGCCGACCCCUCAUCUAAGCGAAUUGUGAUAGUCCUGUCUCUUGCUUUUCCAGGCUCCCGUCCAGCUGGCUGUGCCAUGUGACAAUGAGAUGCAAGCAGAGGUCUGCCGGGGGAAUUCUGGAAAGGCUUUGCUUUCUUCAUAGAAGGCUGGCAUCUUAACUCCCCCUUCAGGUCUUGAGUAUGAAAGUCAAAUCUGGGUGUGAGAACAGCCAUCUUGCCACCAUAGGGUGAUGAACAUAAAUGUAGUAAAAGCCGACACCCAAGAGGAAAGGAAAUGACUUGAAUUCCUGAUAAAAAUGUCGACCCAAGGCCAACACCUGCUUAUUGCCAGACUUCCUACUAUGCCAAGAACCUAUUUGGUCUCAGUCGUAUAAGAAGAAUUGUGGGGGCCAGGGAACCCUUCCUGGUAUUCGUUCAGUAAGCAGUAAGUCGGUAGCCGUCUCAUCUCUCUGCAGCUGAUCAUUGGGAACUCCCCGUGAGGCCAUGGAUGCAGGCUAGGAGAGAAGGCGGCGGUGUAGCAGGAAUGAACAUCGGGGAGAUAACUGCUAUCCCGAAGUUGGAGUUUAUCAGCCCUAUGCAAUGGGUGGAGCUCAGAAACUGCGACCCCUGGGACCUUGCCAUUUGUCUUCAAGAUUUUGGAUUUGUUACCUAAUGCAAGUUUGUGUGCCCAAUGCACCGUGAGAACAAAGAAACUGAAACAUCGGAGUUUGGAGCAGAGAAAGGUUUAUUACAGGGCCGAGCAAGGAGGACCGGGAGGCCCGUGCCCUAGAAAACCACCUGGAAGAAGAGUUUCAGCAAAGCAUAUUUAAAGUUUUGUAAUGUGUCCUGGAGAAGAUCUCCUUAAGUUGAAUUUGGUGACCUGUGGGCUUCAGGGAUGAUGCAUAUCAAAUCCCUCUGCAAUUUGGAAAGUUCUCAGCCAUUAUUUGUUUAAAGAGAAAUCCCAGAGUGAGAAGAUCUUUCUUGGCAUUGAGCAAGUGCCACGUUAGGGGAGGGAGUAAUCAGGACCAGUGGAAAGCUAAGCAGGAGGAAUGAGCUUUAUCCAGCCCUCAGGAAGGCAACGUCAGGUCCACCACACUCCUAAGUUUUGCUGAGCUUGUGCUCCAGAUCUCAAGGGCUGGAGUUCUGCUGGGACUCUUGCUGCCAGAUGAAUGUGAACCACGUUUCCUCGCAGCAGGCAUAGCCCCAAGGAGCAAGGGAGAGGAAGCAAGAUAAUCAUCC